rnacentral:rRNA from 1 species
UACGGAGGGGGCGAGCGUUGUUCGGAAUCAUUGGGCGUAAAGGGCGCGUAGGCGGCCGAUCAAGUCGGAGGUGAAAUCCCUCGGCUCAACUGAGGAACUGCCUUCGAUACUGUUCGGCUUGAGUGCAGGAGAGGAACGCGGAAUUCCAGGUGUAGCGGUGAAAUGCGUAGAUAUCAGGAGGAACACCGGUGGUGUAGACGGCUUUCUGGACCGUAACUGACGCUGAGACACGAAAGCGUGGGUAGCAAACAGG